CAGCUGCCGGUUUCCGUCGGUACUCAUCAUCAUUUGCGAAGUAAUAAUGGACUAUUGUCAAUGGCACAAUGUUUUGUGAAAUAUGGCACCUAAAAAGUGCCAAGUGAGAGGAUGUACCUUACAGGAAAACCAGCUUCGGCAAUUUCCCGAUCUGAUGAAAGAUAGGGAACGCUGCCUUCAAUGGAUAGCAGCGUGUGAUAAUCCCUGCCUUCAGGACAUGUCAUCAAUGGAAAAUGUGAAAAUCUGCGAUGUCCACUUUGAGGAUGUUUAUAAAUUAAAUAUCCGACUGAGUACUUCAGCAGUGCCAACGCUUCAUUUGCCAAGAAUUAUAUCUGGUCUAGGGGAAGGGGCAGCAUUAAAUAUAGGAUUUCGAAAAACACUCACUUGUCUAAUGAACUGAGCAGCUUAGCUUAUUUCUCUAUUAUUUCAGAUUGGACUGUUAUCACUUCGUGUAACAUAAGCGUAAUUAUAAAAAUAUUCUUAUUAUAAAAUUUGUACAAUAUAAGUUAAAUAAAAAAAAUGUUUGUUAUAUAAGUAUUGUAUACCUUUUUAUUACAA